GGAAUAAUUGUCAUCGGUAAGAUAAAACAAUUGCUAAUUGUCUGGGUAAAACCUUGGGGGUUCGACUCCUCCUUAUUCCG
rnacentral:tRNA from 1 species